GCGUUUUUAGUUUAAUGGAUAAAACAUCAAUCUUCUAAAUUGAAAUACUGUAGGUUCAAAUCCUACAAAGCGCA
rnacentral:tRNA from 1 species